rnacentral:rRNA from 1 species
AACGAACGCUGGCGGCAUGCCUAACACAUGCAAGUCGAACGAGCCCUUCGGGUCUAGUGGCGCACGGGUUCGUAACGCGUGGGAACCUGCCCUUAGGUUCGGAAUAACUCCCCGAAAGGGGUGCUAAUACCGGAUAAUGUCUUCGGACCAAAGAUUUAUCGCCUUUGGAUGGGCCCGCGUUGGAUUAGCUAGUUCGGAGGGUAAAAGCCUACCAAGGCGACGAUCGAUAGCUGGUCUGAGAGGAUGAUCAGCCACACUGGGACUGAGACACGGCCCAGACUCCUACGGGAGGCAGCAGUGGGUAAUAUUGGACCAUGGGCGAAGGCCUGAUCCAGCAAUGCCGCGUGAGUGAUGAAGGCCUUAGGGUUGUAAAGCUCUUUUACCCGGGAUGAUAAUGACAGUACCGGGAGAAUAAGCUCCGGCUAACUCCGUG